CAAAAUCAAACCAGAAGCAUAGGAGGUCAGAGGAAAACAUAGCUGUGGGAGAAAGAGACAUAAAAAUCAGAAAUACGGUUUUGGAGUACUGGAAGUGAUGGCCUCCUGCUCUAAAUUGCCUUGUGUAUCACCUGUAUAACUACGCAGUGCUGAUUCAUAACCUCUGAGCUACCAUCUGCAGCCAUAUGCUUAGCGAGCAGCACUGCUGCUGGGACAUGCAUCACCUGGGGUGUGGCUGAGCAUACACCAUUCUCUUCACAUUUCUGCUGUCCAAUGUGUUCCCGCUGAUGUUCACAACAGGAAAUCUUACAGCUUGCAGAGCUGUGGUUAAGGAAAUAAUCAUGUAUAUUUGAAUGCUUGUUGCUGUUUAGCUUUGCCAGCGAAUUCAAAGUAACAUUCUUCAGAAGCUUAUCCAUCUAAGUUUUCCCUGGGAUUCUCUACUGAUGGAAAAAAUCAUUGAUUUCCAGCUUCCUUCACACAAAAACACUUCAGAAAGUACUUUUUUCAGUGGAGCUACUUUGCAUGCAGUGAGGCUGCUUUACAAUGAGGCUACAGAGCCUGCCAUUUAUUCUUCAAAUCGUUCUUCAUCCUGUAAGUACAGAGAGCCUCCAGAAUUUCUGAGGUCAAUUGCUCUGAGAAUACUGGCAGAGAGGGCCAUUUUGAAAAGCACUGAAUACUCCAAAGGUAACCCUCAGCCCUUGUGGUGUUUUAAAAUGAGAACUGCUAAGGAAGCAAUGUUUUGUUCCAUGGGGAGAAUAUAUCCCGUGGAUAUAUCAGUAUUUUCAUAGAGUCAUUAUUUUAACUUUCCAUCCAAAUUCUGCACAGAAUGAAUGUAGAAAUAUUACAGUGUUCUUUUGGGUGGAAAUUUCUGAAUUCUGAUCAGUUGUGCUUAAAAAGCUGGAAGCACUGCUUGUUUUGGAAAAAAAAAAUCUGUCCCUUUUGUCCCACCCCCAGAAAGUCUUUGAAGCAGAUAUCUUUUAUCCCAGCAAUUAUAUAAACUGAAACUUUUACUUUGGAAGGAUGGAGGGAAAUGUCUGCUUAUUCAAGAAAUGUAUUUUUGAAGACUGGUCUUAAAGAUAUUGAUAAGGCAUAAGAACAUGAGGAAAAUUGUAUACAAUUGAGUCCAGCAAAGGACACAGCACAGAAUUGAGUUUGAACAUAUGAGAAUGUAGGAAAGCAGGAAAAAAAAGCAAGUGUGGUUUGAGUGUGUAUAUAUGGAAUCAUGAGGAAAACAGUGAUAGAAUUCAGGAAAUAUUUAAUCAGUCGUUUGACUAUGUCUGCAGCUGGCGCUUGGUAAAUAAGUGACUACUCAAGGUAAGGAUGCCAGAACAGGAAGGUUUCUAACAGGCUGCUGACUUACAUUACAUGGACCUUGUAGUCUCAUGCCUUUUUUAAAUAUGAUGGUAAGCAAUUGCUUGGGUUUCAUGGCAUCGUGUUUUGUUACAGUACUUUAUGAAAACAUCACAUUAUUUUCAUCAGGCUGACUUUGAGUUGAGAAAUCUGUUGAUUAUAAUUUCAUUUGUUACAGGUAGCCAGUGAUAACUUCAGGAAAUUGCCAUCCUUACUCCUGCUGGGAUUUCUGUUGUUAUAGUGACAGAUUAUGUUUUUCAAACAUUGUUUUGGAAAAAUUCUGGGGUUAUCAUCAAUAAUAAUUAUGAUAAUGAAUUGUGAUGGCCUCAGUUUGCCUUCCUGUAAUGCCAGUGGAAGAUCUGUUCCUAUCCAAAAUAAGAUAAGAGUCUUUAGGUAUCCUUUACAGUAAUUACAGUAAUCAGAGAGCUGUUAGGAUAGCAUUAUUAGUUUAUAGCCUUUGGACUGACUAUUCUAAUAAUCCAAGUGCAAGAACAAUACUUCCUCUUAUUUUAGUGAGUAAGGACUAUUAGAGUUACAUAGGAAGAGGAUGGCUUGAGCUGGAAAAUGAGUGCAACUGUGUCUGUGCAGUGGUGGAAACCAUGGCCAGUCAUCCAAAAAUACCAGCUUCAUGGCAUGGCAGCAUUUGUUUUCUUCCACAGAUGUGCUGAAUGUGAAAAAAUAUUUCAGAGAAAUUGAAAGAAACUCAGGAAAUAAAGAAUAUUCUGCAUUAACA
rnacentral:lncRNA from 1 species